rnacentral:rRNA from 1 species
GACCAGACUCCUACGGGAGGCAGCAGUGAGGAAUAUUGGUCAAUGGGCGCGAGCCUGAACCAGCCAAGUCGCGUGAGGGAAGACGGUCCUAUGGAUUGUAAACCUCCUUUGUCGGGGAACAAAGGCGCCCACGGGUGGGCGGAUGAGUGUACCCGAAGAAAAAGCAUCGGCUAACUCCGUGCCAGCAGCCGCGGUAAUACGGAGGAUGCGAGCGUUAUCCGGAUUUAUUGGGUUUAAAGGGUGCGUAGGCGGAUUUUUAAGUCAGCGGUAAAAUGUCCGGGCUCAACCCGGGCCGGCCGUUGAAACUGGGGAUCUUGAGUGGGCGAGAAGUAUGCGGAAUGCGUGGUGUAGCGGUGAAAUGCAUAGAUAUCACGCAGAACUCCGAUUGCGAAGGCAGCAUACCGGCGGCGAUCUGACGCUGAGGCACGAAAGCGUGGGUAUCGAACAGGAUUAGAUACCCCAGUAGG